rnacentral:lncRNA from 1 species
UAAAUAUUCUAGACAGAGAGAAAAAUACUCCAAAGGAACAAGAAUUAGGAUAUUAUCACAAGUUGGCAAGCUCUAGUUAAGGAUAACAGAAACAGACCCAAUGGAGAGAUAAAUCUAUGAUGAAUGAAAUAAUGUGGCAUCUGGAUAUAUUUAUCAAUUCUUUUUCUCUUAAGGACUGGUAAAAAUAUUUUAUCAGGAUUGACUAAAAUAAUUUUCUGUAUAUUGAUAUGAUCUUCCUUUCUUAUCUUCCUUUGUUUCACUUCUAAAGAUAUAUCUCAUCUUACUUUCAUGUCUCUCAAAUCACUUUUUAAUCCACAUAGCUCUGUGAUUCCUCAAAAACAACACUCAGUGUUAAUUCAAGAAAAUCAGACACUAUAAGGUGAUUCAGAUCAUAUACCUUUCUCUCUCUGGAGCCUUGACAUUGAACGGACAGUUUCAGAGAAUCAUGACAGAAAAGUAAACCAGAGCAGUCUUACCAUUCAAAGGUAAUCAUUGAUGAUGUCUAUAAAACACUGACAGACUUUGUGUGCUUUUUCUUUAUUUAAUAAUAAACAUAUUAAUAUAUUCAACUCUGCAAUCCAGGUAUUAACCUGACAUAUUACCAUGUACCUCUCUUCAUAUGAAUAAUUACAGAACAAUUCCAUAUGUUGAUCAAGAUUCUUUUGUUUGAAUGUGAUAUAACUACUCACCUGAAAGAUGCUAAGGGAAAGGAGAACUUAAUACUUCAACCAAAUCCUCAAAAAAAAAAAAAAAAAAAAAAAAGUCAGUGUGGGUACCUGAUUCUCAGGAGUAUUACAAUUGGUUUAUACAGUCUAACCUGGGAUCCCUGGGUGGCGCAGCGGUUUGGCGCCUGCCUUUGGCCCAGGGCGCGAUCCUGGAGACCCGGGAUCGAAUCCCACGUCAGGCUUCCGGUGCAUGGAGCCUGCUUCUCCCUCUGCCUGUGUCUCUGCGCCUGUCUCUCUCUCUCUGUGACU